rnacentral:lncRNA from 1 species
UAAAAGUCUAGCUAUCCUGAACUGCCCUAAAGGGGAGACUACGUAGAAAAUACAGAUGCCUAAAUAGUUGCAGCUCUUUUAGCUUUCAGCUACUUAAUUCUUCCCAGCCUGGACACAGACUUGACCUGGGAAAGAUGGGAAGAACUGUCUGUUGGGUGUAGGGGGAAGCAGGACCUGAUGCUGGAAGGGAGAAGAAGAUAACCAUGCUAAAUGAAGAAAACUGACCACAAGAAUUCCAGUCCAACAGAAAAUAUA